GAUAGAGGCGCAAUGUUCAUGAGUAUAUAAUCAGAGGGUGACACCGAUGACGAUUAUAAAAAGGGGAUGUUGCCGAAGUAUGUACACUAGUCGAUGUGUAUAUGCUGGGGUUGUAUUGAAUAAGUACAACACUGUCAUUAUAAAAUGAUGUAUUUCAUUUUAUAAUGGGGCGCUACUAGU
rnacentral:ncRNA from 1 species